rnacentral:misc_RNA from 1 species
GUCUAACUCAAAGCACGCCUGGAAGGUAGAGCCAGAGAGGACCCGAAAGUGCUAAUCGUUCCGAACAACGACCCUGAAAAAGUUUAUUUUACAAGACUUUAUUCUAAGCCCCUUUUUAGAAUCAAAGUUCUAAAUAUUAUGGUGAAAUUUUUUAUACUUUUUGUUUUAAGUGUUGUUUUCACGUAAUUAUAUUUUUGUCUAAUUUUAAGCAUGGCACUUUUUUUUCUUUUAAAAAUUCAUUUUAAUGGCGUGUGGUAUUUUUUGCUCAGCCGCUUCGCGAUAGUUUGCUAAAAUUUUCAUUGACAAAUAAAAACGCUUCCACAUAAUGCCUAUAUUAAUUUAAGCUGUUGUUCAAUAAAAUGUUUUUCUUCCUUUUAAUCUCGUUAUUGUCUUUGCUGAUAAAGUUUGUAAAAUGAUGGAUGCUCGGAACGAUUUGCAUGUGUCGGGGCCCGCUGGCCCACCUCCUUUCAUUCUAAUUAUUACAUAGUAUAUAUAUGCAUGUUACAUUCAAUGAUUUCAUCAGCGUGAAGUCAGUUGGCGUAGUAAUAUAUAGCCUCGUCGAUUACAAGCAAAGCUUGCAUGUGUGUUCUUUGUUGAUGGCAGUUCUUCUUGGAUCGAUGUUUUGGAUAUUAUAGAAAAGAGAGAAUUCCAUUGGUCAAAUAAAACGGUUGUGUUAGU